GGUCCUGCAGUGUACGACACAUCAGAUUGCAAACCUGAAGGCGAGAGUUACCGCUCUCCGGGGCUU
rnacentral:tRNA from 1 species